CUGGGAAAAGCUUCCUGGGCUUUGUCACCACAGCCAGGCGCGGGAGGAAAGCCAGGGCCAGGCCCACUCAGGCAGAGCUUGGGUCCGCUGGGACCCUGUGUAACUGAUAUACCUUCCAGGGCUUCUAGACAAUGCGUGGACUGUUGACAGCUGUAUGGUGACUUGGGCAGACGAGGGAAUGGCAAUGAGUGAGAACUUCCCGAGUGCAGUGCUCCUCUGUUCUUCUGUUUUAUUGCUGCAUUGCCUCUGGCUUCAAGACCCAGGCAGAGCCAGCUGGAGUGGGCAGGCAAUUUUGCAGAUGUUAACACGUGCCUUUGGCAUUUUCUUUCACCGAAGUCAAGGACAUCAUCUGCAGUCUUCUAAGGGCUGAAGUGUGGUUUGGAGAUAAAAGGCAAAACUUACCGGAGGAUCCAGUGUACUGGUUAAUAACUUACGACAUUGUGCUGUAGAAAGUGCACUCUGAUUUUUUGUUGUUGUUUCAACAACAACACAAAGAUGUGAAAACCACCGCCCGCGUUGCCGAAGGGACUCCACACGGUGGGACUGUCACCACUAGGUGGCAGGAACCUGAUGCAGCAGAAAACCUUUUAAAAAAUGCUGCGCACACAGCGCUUUGCUGAACAGCUGCCACCCAGUGAGUGAAAAGACUACCACCGCCCCAGCACCACGCUAGCCAUCAGCACAGGACUCGUCUGGAGCCAUUCUGCUGUGCAGAAGUGUCUUCGCAAUAGUGGGGGAAGGAGGAUGUGCUUGGAACAGAACCUCAGUGUUGCCUCCUCCCCCCAUGCAAAAUGAAAAUCCUCUGCUAAUAAGCAUAGGAAAUGAUGGGCUUCUGCAAUUGUUCUAUGCCAGGAAAGGGGAGUGAAUCCAUCUGAUUCAGUAUUUGAAUGCUUUGCAUCAGUCCCACAGGCCAAAGGAAGAUGGCAAACAGCCAGUCUGCUGACCUGACUGCCCUCUCUCUGGGGAGCUCUCGUCCAGCACCAAGCUGCCACGUACCCCUUGGUGCACCAGAAGAGGAAAGGCAGGGAGGGACAUGGCCAAGCCAUGGUGCUCCCAUCCCAUCUGUCAUCCAGUCCAGUGGGACACUCACGCCUCAGGAGAGCAGAGCAGCCUUCAUGCUAUAACUGGCUUUUCUGAGACGUCUCUGCUCAGCUCGGGUGUGCCCAAAAAUCAGACCCAGAGGAGUUACACCAGUGUGCGUGAGAGCAAAUUAUAGCCCUGGCUCUUCAGUUUCAUUGUUUUGUGUUGGUGAUGCAAUAUGACUAAUCUGUUAGGAAUAAUAGUGCUGCACUCAAAUAUGUCCCUCUCAGAAAUAGAUUCCUUGCAGGCUCAUUAAGGGUAACUGUUUUAGAAAAACAAAUGCAAUUUGCCUUAGUUCCUGAGAGCAAAAUGACUUUAAAGUAACAGAUACUCCUUUUAAACGGUACCAUCUUGCUGGUGUAUUCUAUAAAAGUAUUAGGUGUCAUCGUGCCUCAUUUGAAUUGUGCUUUUGAACAUGGCAUCUAACCACCACCUCAAAACAAAAAAAAACCUCUGAAAACAUAUUUUAUAACAAAAUGGUCUCUUUUAAACAAACAUUCCUGACUGAGGCCUGGAGUUUGCUGGUGUGGGACUGUCAAUGCAGUACUACAGAAAUAAUUGGGGUCUGUAUGCUCCUAGUUGGGACUGGGGGUGAGUUACGAAAUUCCUCUUCUAUUUCUCUCUGACUAUUUACAAAAUUAGCCUUAAGUGUUAAGCAUGGGUUUCCUAGGAAAGCUGGUGAUUGGAAGAACAUGAAUAAGAGUGUCAUAAAAUGGCAAAUGUUGUGGAACAAUAUUCACUUCAAGACAGAAGGAAUUCCUUUGAAUAUGGAAAUAUUUUUGGGAAUGCCUGAGAAAUUUUCCAUUGCCCGUUUAACAGUUGAUCUGAAAAUUCUGCCUCACUGCUUCCCAUCAUUUUUCAAUUUAAAAAUUUUGUAAGGUCAUAUUAAAAAACAAGAAGUACUAGGAAAGAUACCUUGCUAAUUUAGUAUAUUUAUUACAUAUGUCUGCACAAUUAUUUUAGGUUUUGAGGAGAAAAAGAACAAGUGUAUACAUUUGAAUGAAACAAUACAGCAUAUAUUUA